AUUGAACGCUGGCGGCAGGCUUAACACAUGCAAGUCGAGCGGAGUGAGGUGCUUCGGUACUGAUCCUAGCGGCGGACGGGUGAGUAAUGCUUAGGAAUCUGCCAUUUAGUGGGGGACAACGUUCCGAAAGGAAUGCUAAUACCGCAUACGUCCUACGGGAGAAAGCAGGGGAUCUUAGGACCUUGCGCUAAAUGAUGAGCCUAAGUCGGAUUAGGUAGUUGGUGGGGUAAAGGCCUACCAAGGCGACGAUCUGUAGCGGGUCUGAGAGGAUGAUCCGCCACACUGGGACCGAGACACGGCCCAGACUCCUACGGGAGGCAGCAGUGGGGAAUAUUGGACAAUGGGGGGAACCCUGAUCCAGCCAUGCCGCGUGUGUGAAGAAGGCCUUUUGGUUGUAAAGCACUUUAAGCGGGGAGGAGGCUCUUCUAGUUAAUACCUAGGAUGAGUGGACGUUACCCGCAGAAUAAGCACCGGCUAACUCUGUGCCAGCCGCCGCGGUAAUAC
rnacentral:rRNA from 1 species